CCCCGGGCCAGCCCCUCCAUCUCCUUCCUCAGAGGCUCCACAAACUCCCAGCCCUCCUCGAAGGGACUGGGGGGGGGGAUUCCCUUGUGCGCUCCUGGCUCUUUCCUACUUCCUUCCUCCGGGGAUUCACCGGCAAUCCGCCUCCUUCCGUUCUCUCCUGCCCAGCUGCCCUUCCAGGAUCUUCGGAAUCCGGAAGGGAUCUUCCCGGAGCUUCUUCCCGACCCUCCUCCUGGCUAUCCCCGCCCCUGCCUCUCCCCUCCCACUCGCUGGAUCUCCGCUUCCCUCCGGGUGUCCCGCUUCGCCCUGGCAGCAUCGGCGCCGGAUCCCACGGGAGAGGCUUCUGGAUCCCGCUGGGGCAGAUCUGGCUGCUCCCCCUCCGGCCUUUGGGGCGCCCCUCCCGCCAGGAGAGCUUUCCCCCCCCCGCCAGGAGAAAGGAGACCAGUGAGGAUGUGGCCGUGAGCUCCACAGAGGAGAAGGGGGGGGGCGUUCUUGGAUUGGGACCCACCAACCUUUGGCCCAGACUCCGUUCUAGAGAAUUUGGAAAUCGUGGUCCAGUUGGAGAAGCAGCUUCCUUCACAAAGGGCGAAUGGAUUAAGGAGAAAUCAAACUGGUCAGCAAUGAGGGCCAUACCUGACCUUGACCCACAGGGGGAACAAGUGACUCAGAGACCUCUUAGUUGUAACUUUAAAGGAAACCAGUGAGGAUGUGGCCGUGAGCUCCAUAGAGGAGAAGGGGCAUUCUUGGAUCGGGACCCACCAACCUUUGGCCAGGACUCCGUUCUAGAGAAUUUGGAAAUCUUGGAGAAGCAGCUUGUUUAAAAUGUGUCAUAAGGAAGCCAGAACCAAAAAGCCAUGAUGCGAUGGAGCUUGUGGGUAUAAAAAUCAGAAGAAGCAAGAAAAGGGAAUGAGAAAUGGGUUGCUUACAAUAGCUUGAAAUCUUUUUCCUUCUCUUAAUGUGAUGGCGUAGUUUUUCGCAUAUCUGGUAGUUUGUUCUGGACAUACUAGCACAAUUCGGACUGGUAUCUUGGUCGUUGUGUGAAGCGGGCAUUGAGAUGUGACUUGGCUGCUCUUCUCAAAUGUUGCAAUCCUGCACUGGUUGUUGAGCAAUUUCACAGGUCAUUAAGCAAAGUCUCAGGUAAGUCAGCUGGGGUUGCCUGAAGUGGGCAGGAGAGGCCAUGUGAGUGCUGGCACAGGGCAUGUGUGAAUUGAGAGGGUCCUGGAGAAGCUUAGAGAUGCUUUGGGACAUGUUACUUGGAAAUAUGUAUGGAAUAUGCGGCUUAGAAAAUGACACAAGGCUGCAAAGGCCUCCGGUCUGGGCCUUGAGGCUGCAUUUCUAAGUGGCAGCGGUGACACUGGGCUGAAGUCCAGUCCUGGGGUCAGUGGCAACUGGCUGAAAUGGCUCAUUCCUUUUCCCUUAGAAGUCACAGCCAAAUCCAUACAGGAGAGAAACCUCACAAAUGCUCGGAAUGUGAUGUUUUUCCCAUAAACAUCAUCUUUUGAUGCAUCAGACAACCCACACUGGAAAAAACCCAUAUAAGUGUCUGAAGUGUGGGAAAUGUUUUUCCCAACCUUCAGGACUUCACAGGCACACCAGAAAUCACACAGGAUAGUGGCCUUAUAAACGUGCACAGUGUGAGAAGACUUCAUUGUAAAUCAAAGCUAAAAAUGCACCAGAAUGUCCAUAGCAGAGAUAAACCCCUUCAGUUGUGAAGAAUGAGAGAAACAUUUUUUUUCCAAAAGUCACAUCUUAGUGUUCACCAGGAACUUCACACCGUGACAGAAGGAGAAUCUUAACAAUUGUUUGGUGUGAGGAAAAUCCUCUUCCUAGUCAACUUUGAAUACCAUCUUGGAGUCCACAAUGAAAACAAAAGUGGUUAAAUCUUGGAAGUGUUUGAAAGUUUGGCUCACAAAGUAGCAGCCUGUUAAUAAUUCAGAGAUGUUACACAAGAGAAAAGAGCUACAAGUGUGGGGAGUAGAUUAGUGCAAGUGUAGAUUAGCUUUUACAGAGUACAGCUAGUUUUUGACGUAUGGUCAAAUUGGGAAUGAAUUCCUGGUCAUAGUUUUAUACACUGGUACACUGAGGCAACCAUAUGACUGGGUCUGAUUUUAUGACAUUUUUGUGGUCAUUAAGCAAGUCACUGCAGUGCUAGGUUUAAAUCUAUUGUUUUGAGUUUGCAUUUUCUGCAAAAAACUGACAAAAAGCAAGAUCAUGGAACUGGUCAUAGAAGGAUCAUAAAAAUUGUGCAUUUGGUGUGCAUGAAAUAUUUUUAUGGAAAGUCUACCUGGGUCUGCUGGUAAAAAUGCCUUGAAGAAAAACCCACCAGAUGUUCGGACUACUGGACACUCUUUCCGGGUGACAAACCACAUCAGAGCUUGGUGUGUGUGUAUGGACAAUCUGUUCCUUGAAAUGUCAUUUGUAAAUCCCCAUAGAGAAAAAGCCUAGAAAUCUUAACAUUUUAUCCUGAAAUUUUUUUUUAUUUUUUUUUAAAAACAAGAGUUCAUAAUUGUGGUAAAGUGAAAAAAAGGUUCCCUGGUCUGGGUGUUAUUUUAAAAAGGUAGUGAUCCAGAACGGGGAAAAUAUCCUUCAGAUGCCACUUAAGCCUCAGAGUCUCUUUUGUGCCCUUAUCCACCCCUCUCAUUGUCCCAGUGGGAGAGACCCCCCAAGAGACUUGGGUCACCAACUCUUAUCUGGGACAGGAAAUUGUCAGAGCAUGCAGAGUCCUAUUGUGUGAGACAACCCAGGAGCAAACACAGCAAACAGUGGUUUCUAACCAAUAAUGGUUUAUCUACAAUAUUAUACAAGUAUUACUAGGAACAAAUAUACGUACACGUGCUACGAGCAGAAGCCAACACGCAGCAAUUACAGCAGGAAAAGGAAGAGAGAAACACACUAGCAGAGCCUUCCCUUUAUACCCAGGCUCUUAAAGAGACAAAGACCCUGCUGUCUCAUCCCUAUCAUUACAUCAGUACACCAGUUGUUAAAUCAUUACCUUGACAGAAAUUCUUUUAGGAUUGUAAAAUAAAAAUUUUAAGGUUUUGUGGAAGUUUUGUUUCUGUGGGAACUGUAUGGAAGUCCAUAAUCUUCAGGGCUGGGAUUUUAAAUGAAACGUUUUGGUCUUUUGUGCAGUCUUAAUAAAAGCAUUUCCACUGUCCUA